GUACUGUUGAGGAGUCCUACAAAAGGACGAAACGAUCGUUCAGUAC
rnacentral:hammerhead_ribozyme from 1 species